CCCACCAUGGUCCAUUGGUUAAACUGACCGCCACCGAUCAAUUGCGGGAGCGGGAGGUUGGAGGUUCGAUUCCUCUUGGUGGUA